CCUACGGGUGACAGCAGUGAGGAAUAUUGGUCAAUGGCCGCAGGGCUGAACCAGCCAAGUCGCGUGAGGGAUGACGGUCCUAUGGAUUGUAAACCUCUUUUGUCAGGGAGCAAAGGGCGCCACGUGUGGCGCUUUGCGAGUACCUGAAGAAAAAGCAUCGGCUAACUCCGUGCCAGCAGCCGCGGUAAUACGGAGGAUGCGAGCGUUAUCCGGAUUUAUUGGGUUUAAAGGGUGUGCAGGCGGAAUGUCAAGUCAGCGGUAAAAUUUCGGGGCUCAACCCCGUCGUGCCGUUGAAACUGGCGUUCUUGAGUGAGCGAGAAGUAUGCGGAAUGCGUGGUGUAGCGGUGAAAUGCAUAGAUAUCACGCAGAACUCCGAUUGCGAAGGCAGCAUACCGGCGCUCAACUGACGCUCAUGCACGAAAGCGUGGGUAUCGAACAGGAUUAGAUACCCCGGUAGUC
rnacentral:rRNA from 1 species